CACGUAGGGGGCGAGCGUUGUCCGGAGUUAUUGGGCGUAAAGAGCUCGUAGGCGGCUCAGUAAGUCGGGUGUGAAAACUCCAGGCUCAACCUGGAGACGCCACCCGAUACUGCUGUGGCUAGAGUCCGGUAGGGGAGCAUGGAAUUCCUGGUGUAGCGGUGAAAUGCGCAGAUAUCAGGAGGAACACCAGUGGCGAAGGCGGUGCUCUGGGCCGGAACUGACGCUGAGGAGCGAAAGCGUGGGGAGCAAACAGG
rnacentral:rRNA from 1 species